UCCAAAUGAAGGGAGCGUCAGCAAGUCCAGUGGUGUCUUCUUGGACCACAAGCAGACAAGUGGCGGAAGCUCACAGGUCUCAUCGGUAGACCUUGAUUCUGACAUUCAGCACCUUGAAAAUGUGCUUGACCUGCACUAAGGUAUCUCCCCAGGCAGAGCUGGUGCUGGAAGCCACAACUGUACAUUUAGCACAACAGUGACUUCCAGAUAGAGCGUCAGGAAUGCCUACAUCGAGGGUGCUUCAAACCGAGUGUUAGC
rnacentral:lncRNA from 12 species